UAGUAGUACGAGAAUGAAGAAAACCGCAAUAUUUUUGGUUUAUUUUGGGAUAUUUUCUCUUUUAAUAUCACAUGUGUCUUCAGAAGCUUACGCUGGAGUAAUCAUUUGCGAACGCAAUAUUGCUUACCUUCGUUGUAAUAAACCUCAACGAAUUAACAUACUUGCUGCAAACUACGGCCGUACAGAAGGAGGUCAUCUAUGCCCUAGCAAAUCUAUUAAAAAUACCAAUUGUCUCUCCCCUGCUUCUACAAUGUUGACCAAGUGGAAGUGCAACGGAGAGCAAACCUGCUAUAUAUCAGCCAGCAACGGAGUAUUUGGAGAUCCUUGUGCUGGAACAUACAAGUAUCUAUAUGUGAAAUAUAUUUGUCAAUGAUUUGAAAAUAUUGACUAUGAUGGUCAUAAUACAUGGAUAACUGUAUUCUACGUACGAGUACAACAAUUCUUUAUUUCGACCCUGAAUAUCAAUAUUUUUCCUUUACAAUAAAUCUUGUCUAAAAUUG